rnacentral:rRNA from 1 species
AAAAAAGGGGGUCCCCCGUCAGGUGAACCAGCGGAGGGUCAUUAUAGAGUGUAAUAACUCCCAAACCCAUGUGAACAUACCUCAUGUUGCCUCGGCAGGUCGCACUUUUCUCGUAGGUCCUACCCUGUAGGCCCUACCCGGAAGGCGCGGGUACCCCUGCCGGCGGCCCACGAAACUCUGUCUCAUAGUUGAAUUCUGAACCUAUAACUAAAUAAGUUAAAACUUUCAACAACGGAUCUCUUGGUUCUGGCAUCGAUGAAGAACGCAGCGAAAUGCGAUAAGUAAUGUGAAUUGCAGAAUUCAGUGAAUCAUCGAAUCUUUGAACGCACAUUGCGCCCAUUAGUAUUCUAGUGGGCAUGCCUGUUCGAGCGUCAUUUCAACCCUUAAGCCCCUGUUGCUUAGCGUUGGGAGCCUACGGCACCGUAGCUCCCCAAAGUCAGUGGCGGAGUCGGCUCACACUCUAGACGUAGUAAUUUUCACCUCGCCUAUAGUUGGACCGGUCCCUUGCCGUAAAACCCCCUAAUUUUUAAAAGGUUGACCUCGGAUCAGGUAGGAAUACCCGCUGAACUUAAGCAUAUCAAUAAGCGGAGGAA